ACCAAUUCCGGAGGACUUCACAGUUCCUCACGGUAUAAUGGCUCGGACGCCAGAUGAUAUUCUUCUGAUGUGUGGUCAUAUCCUGAUUGAUGGCGUUCUUGGUGCCAGUCUAAUCCUGGAAACGCCACAUAUAUUU
rfam:Oryza brachyantha chromosome 6, whole genome shotgun sequence.